rnacentral:rRNA from 1 species
UACGUAGGGUGCAAGCGUUGUCCGGAAUUAUUGGGCGUAAAGAGCUCGUAGGCGGUCUGUCGCGUCUGCUGUGAAAACUCGGGGCUUAACCCCGGGCCUGCAGUGGGUACGGGCAGACUAGAGUGCGGUAGGGGAGACUGGAAUUCCUGGUGUAGCGGUGAAAUGCGUAGAGAUCGUAAGGAAGACCAGUGGCGAAGGCGGGUCUCUGGACAGUUCCUGACACUGAGGCACGAAGGCCAGGGGAGCAAACGGG